GAGAUCGUAGCUCAGCUGGAUAGAGCGACAGCCUCCUAAGUUGUAGGUCGGCGGUUCAAAUCCGCCCGGUCUCACCA
rnacentral:tRNA from 2 species